GGGGAAUAUUGGGCAAUGGGCGCAAGCCUGACCCAGCAACGCCGCGUGAAGGAAGAAGGUCUUCGGAUUGUAAACUUUUGUUGUCAGAGAAGAAAAAAGACAGUAUCUGACGAGAAAGCCCCGGCUAACUACGUGCCAGCAGCCGCGGUAAUACGUAGGGGGCAAGCGUUGUCCGGAAUUACUGGGCGUAAAGGGCGCGUAGGCGGCAUAUUAAGUUAGAUGUGAAAUCCCCGGGCUUAACCUGGGUGUUGCAUUUAAAACUGAUAAGCUUGAGUGCAGGAGAGGGAAGCGGAAUUCCUAGUGUAGCGGUGAAAUGCGUAGAUAUUAGGAGGAACAUCGGUGGCGAAGGCGGCUUUCUGGACUGUAACUGACGCUGAGGCUCGAAAGCGUGGGGAGCAAAC
rnacentral:rRNA from 1 species